rnacentral:rRNA from 1 species
GACGAACGCUGGCGGCGUGCUUAACACAUGCAAGUCGAACGAUGAAGCCGGAGCUUGCUCUGGUGAAUUAGUGGCGAACGGGUGAGUAACACGUGAGUAACCUGCCCUUGACUCUGGGAUAACUGCGGGAAACUGUAGCUAAUACCGGAUACGACCAUCGGAGGCAUCUCCUGGGGGUGGAAAGAAUUUCGGUCAAGGAUGGACUCGCGUCCUAUCAGCUAGUUGGUGAGGUAAAGGCUCACCAAGGCGACGACGGGUAGCCGGCCUGAGAGGGUGACCGGCCACAAUGGGACUGAGACACGGCCCAGACGCCUACGGGAGGCAGCAGUGGGGAAUAUUGCACAAUGGGCGCAAGCCGGAUGCAGCAACGCCGCGUGAGGGAUGACGGCCUUCGGGUUGUAAACCUCUUUUAGCAGGGAAGAAGCGAAAGUGACGGUACCUGCAGAAAAAGCACCGGCUAACUACGUGCCAGCCGCCGCAGUAA